AUUUAUUCUUUUUAAAUGAGGCGGGAACGGUUAAAUAGUGUAACCGAUAGAGGACACUAUGUCUGAUGUAAGAGCGCAUGCAUGUAUACACAACUUAUGAUAAGAGGGAUUUUUGAGCGGGACCAAGAAAAAGGCGAAUGGCGGUCGUAGAAAAGAAACGUUCCCACGGACAUAAUAAUUAACGUUGUGAUUCGAGACUUAUUUAAGUCAGUGGGGCUAGGUAGCGAAAAUAACGCGAUUUUGGUUACCUACCUAUACUACGUGCAAUUAUUCCGGUACAAACCUAAUUAGGCAAUAACUUAAUCUUCAUUUCAAUGGUUGUCUAAAAUUCUUUCAAGAGCCGUUUGUCACCUUAAGGCUCUUACCCCUAAGUAAUGGAAAUUGGAAAAAAUAUAUAGUAGCCGCCCCUGACGUCACGUGGGACGCAAAUUUAUUACCUGCACAAGUAACUGCGGAAUACCAAGCGCUG